rnacentral:rRNA from 1 species
UACGUAGGCAGCAAGCGUUGUUCGGAGUUACUGGGCGUAAAGGAUGUGUAGGCGGUUCUCUAAGUUUGGUGUGAAAUCUCCCGGCUCACCGGGAGGUACGCCGAAAACUGGGGAGCUAGAGUGCGGGAGUGGGUAAGUGGAAUUCCUGGUGUAGCGGUGAAAUGCGUAGAUAUCAGGAGGAACACCUGUGGUGUAGACGGCUUACUGGACCGCAACUGACGCUGAGACACGAAAGCGUGGGUAGCAAACAGGAUAGAAACCCCU